GUAGCAUAAUCACUUGCCCAUUAAUUGUGGGCUAGAAUGAAUGGAAAAACGAAGUAAUAGCUGUCUCUAGUAGUACCAUAAAAACUAAUCUUCCAGUGAAGAAGCUGAAAUAAAAUCACAGGACAAGAAGACCCUAUAGAGCUUUAUUUUUAAUACAUAGAUUAAAAUGUAAAAAAAUUCAGUUGGGGCGACUAAGGAAAAAUCAUCCUAAAUAUAUAAGACCUACAAGUCAAUUAAAAGAUCCUAAAAAUAGAUCAAAGAAAUAAGCUACCUUAGGGAUAACAGGCUAAUCCUCCUGGAAAGUCCAAAUUUAUAGGAGGGGUUGGCACCU
rnacentral:rRNA from 1 species